CCCUUAGAUGUCCUGGGCCGCACGCGCGCUACACUGAUGCAUUCAACGAGUUUCACCUUGGCCGAGAGGCCUGGGCAAUCUUUUGAACGUGCAUCGUGAUAGGGAUAGAUUAUUGCAAUUAUUAAUCUUGAACGAGGAAUUCCUAGUAAACGCAGAUCAUCAAUCUGCAUUGAUUACGUCCCUGCCCUUUGUACACACCGCCCGUCGCACCUACCGAUUGGAUGGUCCGGUGAAGCCUCGGGAUUGUGGCGGUUGCCUUUAUUGGUGGCCGCCGCGAGAACUUGUCUAAACCUUAUCAUCUAGAGGAAGGUGAAGUCGUAACA
rnacentral:rRNA from 1 species